CCUCCAGACUCCUACGGGAGGCAGCAGUGGGGAAUAUUGGGCAAUGGGCGCAAGCCUGACCCAGCAACGCCGCGUGAAGGAAGAAGGCUUUCGGGUUGUAAACUUCUUUUCUGAGGGACGAUAGUGACGGUACCUCAGGAAUAAGCCACGGCUAACUACGUGCCAGCAGCCGCGGUAAUACGUAGGUGGCAAGCGUUGUCCGGAUUUACUGGGUGUAAAGGGCGUGCAGCCGGAGAGACAAGUCAGAUGUGAAAUCCACGGGCUCAACCCGUGAACUGCAUUUGAAACUGUUUCCCUUGAGUGUCGGAGAGGUAAUCGGAAUUCCUUGUGUAGCGGUGAAAUGCGUAGAUAUAAGGAAGAACACCAGUGGCGAAGGCGGAUUACUGGACGAUAACUGACGGUGAGGCGCGAAAGCGUGGGGAGCAAACAGGAUUAGAUACCCCAGUAGUA
rnacentral:rRNA from 1 species